rnacentral:rRNA from 1 species
AGCGGCGGACGGGUGAGUAACGCGUGGGUAACCUGCCCUAUACACACGGAUAACAUACCGAAAGGUAUGCUAAUACGGGAUAAUAUAAGAGAUUCUCAUGGAUUUCUUAUCAAAGCUGAGGCGGUAUAGGAUGGACCCGCGUCUGAUUAGCUAGUUGGUAAGGUAACGGCUUACCAAGGCGACGAUCAGUAGCCGACCUGAGAGGGUGAUCGGCCACAUUGGAACUGAGACACGGUCCAAACUCCUACGGGAGGCAGCAGUGGGGAAUAUUGCACAAUGGGCGAAAGCCUGAUGCAGCAACGCCGCGUGAGUGACGAAGGCCUUCGGGUCGUAAAACUCUGUCCUCAAGGAAGAUAAUGACGGUACUUGAGGAGGAAGCCCCGGCUAACUACGUGCCAGCAGCCGCGGUAAUACGUAGGGGGCUAGCGUUAUCCGGAUUUACUGGGCGUAAAGGGUGCGUAGGUGGUCUCUUAAGUCAGGAGUGAAAGGCUACGGCUUAACCGUAGUAAGCUCUUGAAACUGGGAGACUUGAGUGCAGGAGAGGAAAGUGGAAUUCCUAGUGUAGCGGUGAAAUGCGUAGAUAUUAGGAGGAACACCAGUAGCGAAGGCGGCUUUCUGGACUGUAACUGACACUGAGGCACGAAAGCGUGGGGAGCAAACAGGAUUAGAUACCCUGGUAGUCCACGCCGUAAACGAUGAGUACUAGGUGU